UGGUGGACGUUGCAAAGUCGUCUUGUGAAAAAAAAAAAAAAAAAGGAAGUGAAGAAGUGAAAAAUGAUUAAGAGGGUCACGCCCUCUACCCCUCCAACCUCUCUAAUCAGUUUCUUUCCGUUCUGUCUUUUGUACAUGCACCUGCUCAGGUGGGACCUCAUGGAAAAAUUACAUUAUGGGUCUACAUAACCUGAUAACCAGCCACAUGGAGAAAAUGAAUGAAGAAUCAUGGAAACCUGAGCUUGACAAGAUAAUCAGGAAUACAACCAAUAAUGUGUUUGAGAUGGCUCUCAUUGAUUGGAGAGAAGUGAUUAUGAGAAUCUCUUCUGAAAUCUGCAUUAAGUGAUGUCCCAUUGGUUGCUUGAAGCCAGCGCUGGUAUAUUGUGCUUCAAAAAAAGGCUGGAGUGAGUCCCCCAAAUCAGAACACAAGAUGCAUGGGAUCUGAGACUGAAAUCUGCUGGAGGAUUGUUUGAAAGUAUCACAAAGAAAAAAAAUUAGUAGAACACACUGGAAAAUACUGUUACAAGAGCAUCAUUUCCUAACUGCAGGACUAUGGCUCUUCAAAUAUCCAACUGAAGCAUGUUUGGAAGACAACUCUGUGGGUAUAGAAAGUAUUUACUGGGAGGUGGGGGCCCUUGUUCUCUGUGACUGCCAUUACCCUUGCCAUCUUUCAAUCUUAGAGGUGCUCCUCAAUCUUAAUUUUGCUCUUAAAGCUUUCUCCCUGAUUAUACAAUCAACAGCUAAGUAACUAGCUCCUAAGAUUUUUCUCAGACCACUCAGUGGAGCUAUCCAGGGCAGGGCAGGAGGAACUCCAGGUCCUAUGACCUUGUGAGACAGAUAACCCUUUGUCUCGUUUUGUUGUAUUUACCUAAAGAUGGUCUGGACUACAUGAAGAUGAAUGUGUAGCAAGUACACUUGUGUGAAUAGAUGUACAUGGUCUCAGAGGUGAGGCAAAAUAUGCUUUCCUCAUGUAACAUUGUUUGAGAGUUUCUGAGGGUGGUCAAAUUCUGAAAGCAGAGUCUAUAAGCCUACAGCAGUAAUUUUGUCUUCCUAGAUUUUUUGCCUUUUCCCUCUGAACUUUAUUAUUAUUAUUAUUUACUUAUUAAAGUAGAAUAAUAAAACUGUGCUUUAAUCAGUUACAGAGGAAGAGAUUAAUAUGACUUAUUUUCUUCCUGAUGUCCUUGUGCAUUCAUGUGGAAAAAAAAAACGUAAAGAAUUGGUGAAGACUGAAAUGAUGGGAGGAGGUACCGGUCUUCACGUAGCCGGAAGAUUUUCCAGAAUUAAAAACCAUUGUUCCUCUUGAUGCUCUCCUUCCAGAACAUCCACUUGCCACCCCAUUUAAUGCUAUUUAUAUCAUUAGCCAGAUAAUGUGCUUGAUAAAGUUGCCUGACAAUAGUAGGAAUUUCUGUUGCUUCCUUUAACUUCAGCAGAAUAGAAUUUCCAGGUCGAUUUCCCAUGUUCCAGCAGGCGGUUGUGGCUCUCAUGAUACACAGAAGCAGACUGUGCUCGUUGAAAGGAGAGAGAAGCUGAGGAAGAGCCAUACAACAAGUCCAGUCCUUCAUAGGAGACCUAGGAAAGAGAGGAAGGAUCCCCAAAGGGCCAUCCCAUCACUAAGUCAUUAAGAAAUAACACAAGUGAGAGAAACAGCCACAUCCUUGAAACAAGGCCAGGUACAAUGUGGAUGGAAGCUGUCACUGACGUGAAUAUCCCAUGAAGGUAAUGUUACACUUAUUGCUAGGGAUUAGGUGAGUAUGUUCAGUGCAUUGUACACUGAAUUUGAAGUUUUGACUCAUGGAGAUCUUCAAUUUCACGUUACUCAAAAUGAAGUAAAUGUACAGCCUAAUAAACCAUUAAAUUAUCCGUAUAACAAGUAAAUUUCCAGGUUAGAGGCCAAAUCCUUGAUUUGAAUAAUUUUGAAUGGGAAUCAUGUCCUCUGCCCUAAUCACAGAGCUAAGUGUUUCAUAGACCUAGAGCCUACAGACUAAAGGAGAGUUUUGGAUCUCCUGCAACACUGCCAUAGACAUCUACCCUCUGUCUUCUUCCGUCCCUGUCAAAAGAGACUUCAGUUAAUUAUGCAUUGAAGAAGAAGAAAAAUCUAAAUUUUUCUGAAUUGACACAAAUUCUUAGGGACACUAAAUAACAAUGUGAAGUUUGUAAGAGUCCGAUAAUAAAUAGGAACAUAUGCUGGGUUAGAAUCACACAUUGCCCACAUUUCUGUGAAUUGCAUCCAAGGUUAUUUGUCUAGUUUCAGAAUGUUUAAUAGUAAUGAGUAUAUAUGGCAGCUGGCAGAUUCUCUGUAUUGGCUAACACAGAAAAUUAGAAUUAUUGCUGUAGGAAGGUUAAGUUGCAGCUUCUGGAAAUUUCCCUCCUUGCCAGAUCUUACAGAUGGGAUACUGAACCAAACCCAACGCUGAACUCCUUUGGGAAACUGCAGAAUGGAGGGCCACUGGGAAAGAUCUGCAAGGUGCAGGGGAGUUAUGCUGUUCCCACACUUUACAGCAAACAGCGGAUCUUUGAAAAUUACUGAACUAUUUUAACCUUCAUCAGGUGUUAACUGCAAUUGGCAGCCUCUUCGUGUAUGGUUAUCUGUCCAUUCAUGGGAACUUACCCAAACAACAACAAAAACAGCAUAUAAAGAGUUAUCGAUACUACCAUGUUUACAGCAGCUCAAUAUCAAUAACUAAGAUGUGGAAUCAACUCAGAUGUCCAUCGACUGAUGACUGGGCAAAGAAAUUAUGAUAUAUACACACUAUGGAGUUCUACUCAGUUUAAAAGAAAGAAAGAAAAAUCCUGUCUUUUACUACAAAAUUGACGCACUUGGAAACCAUUAUACUUAGUGAAAUAAACCAGUCCCCAAAAGACAGAUACCAUAUGUUUUCCCAUAUCUGAGGUAACUAAUAGAGUACCUAAAAUCUAAUGUAUUGGAGUGAGAUAGACACUUCGAGAUUCAAUGAUCUUUUAUAGUCCUUGUUUCUUCUGUUGAGGAACAGUGUUUUUAUCUUCAUUCUAUUUGUUGAACUCUUUAUGUAGGGUUAACCUUAUAAGUAUAAAGUAAACUGAAAACAGAUUUUUGCAAAAAUUAAGAGUGGGAGGCCGGCGCCGCGGCUCACUAGGCUCAUCCUCCGCCUGCGGCGCCAGCACCCUGGGUUCUAGUUCCGGUCGGGGGUACUGGAUUCUGUCCCGGCUGCUCCUCUUCCAGUCCAGCUCUCUGCUGUGGCCCGGGAAGGCAGUGGAGGAUGGUCCAAGUGCUUGGGCCCUGCACCCUAUGGGAGACCAGGAAAGGCACCUGGCUCCUGCCUUCAGAUCGGCGCAGCACAACGGCUGCAACGCGCCGGCCGUAGCAGCCAUCUGGUGGUGAACCAACGGAAAAGGAAGACCUUUCUCUCUGCCUCUCUGACAGUCUAACUCUGCCUGUCCAAAAAAAAAAAAUUAAGAGUGGGAAUAACAGAGGGAAGAGGAAGAAGGGCAGGAGAGUGGGAAGGAGGGAGCAUAAGGUGGGAAGUAUCACUAUGAUCCUAAAUCUGCAUAUAUUAAAUAUGUGUAAUUUGUAUACCUUAAAUAACAUUUUAAGAAAGUGAUGACUGCUCCUUCUUUGAAAAAUCCAUUCUAGAAGAAGAGCCAGUUUUUGAUGGAAGUAGAUCUGAUAAAUGCAAGCUUAGGACUGAAGUAGACAAUUAUGUGACUCUGACUAAUGUCCUCUCAAAAUCUGUCCACCCCAUUUUUAAUUGCUAUGGUUUCAAAAGAAUUUAUUUUAAGAGCUAGCAUUUGUGCACUUGUUUUCCUUUGAAAAAAUUUUUUAUUUAUUUACUUGAAAGGCAGAGCAACAAGGAGUGUGAUAGAGUAAACAAUAUCCACUGUUUUAAUUCCAAAAUGGCCAUAAAAUCCAGGUCUGGUCCUAGCCAAACCUAGGACCUGGAGCUCAAUCCAGGUCUCCCAUGUGAGUGACAGGCACUCAGACCCUUAGGCCAUCAUCAGAUGACUCUGAUGAGAAGUCAGCAGAGAGUCUAAUUGGGGAUCUUAUGAAAGCUAGCUGGAGUUUCGCUAUUGCACAUUUCAGAAUCUUUUCUUUAUGUUUUACUAAUGAAAGUUUGACUACACUAUUAAUGGUGAAGAUCUUUUCUGGUCCUGGAAGUUUAGCCAGAACCAUUAGGCAAUAAAUAGAUAUAAAAGGGAUACAAAUUGGAAAGGAGGAAUUCAAACUGUCCCUAUUUGCAGAUGACAUGCUCCUAUAUAUGGGGAGACCAAAAGACUCCACUAAGAGACCAUUGGAACUCAUAGAAGAAUUUUGUAAAGUGGCAGGAAAUAAAUUAACACACAAAAAUCAAUAGCGUUUGUAUACACAGAAAAUUCCAUGGCUGAGAAAGAACUUCUAAAAUCAAUCUCAUUUACAACAGAUAAAGAAAAAUUCAAUACUUCGGAAUAUAUUUAACUAAGGAGGUGAAAGACCUCUUCAAUGAAAAUUACAAAACAUUAAAGAAAGUAAUGGAAGAAGGCACAAAAAAAUGGAAAAAUCUUGCAUGUUUGUGGACUAGAAGAAUUAAUAUCAUCAAAAUGUCCAUACUACCAAAGGCAAUUUACAGAUUCAGCAUUCCCAAUGAUGCUAAUAUUUAUAUGGAAAUAUAAAUAUAAAUAAUAAAACUUAUAUGGAAAUAUUAGCAUCAUUUUCUAGCUCUGAGAAGAAUAUAGUUGAUAUUUUGAUUGGGAAUGCAAAUCAAAACCACAAUGAGGUUUCACCUCAUUACAAUUAGAAUGACUCUCCUACAGAAAUCAACUAACAAUAAAUGAUGGAGAGGAUGUGGGGAAAAAGGUACCUUAAUCCACUGUUGGUGGGAAUAUAAACUGGGCAGCCACUGUGGGAAGCAGUAGGGAGAUACCUCAGAAAUCUGAAUAUAGACCUACCACGUGACCAAGCCAUCCCACUCCUGGGAAUUUACCGAAAGGAAAUGAAAUCAGCAUAUGAUAGGGUGAUCUGUACCCCCUUAUUCAUUGUAGCUCAUAGCUAAGAUAUGGAAUCAACCAGGAUGUCCAUCAACUGAAGACUGGAUAAAGAAAUUAUGGUAUAUAUAUAUCUUAUAUGAAAUAUAUAUAUAUGCACCAUAAUUUCAUAUAUAUAUAUGUAUGUGUGUGUAUAUGAAAUCCUGUGGUUUGCAACAAAAUUGAUGCACCUGGAGACCAUUGUACUUAGUGAAAUAAGCCAGUCCCAAAGUGACAAAUGCCAUAUGUUCUCCCUGAUCUGUGGUAAUUAAUAGAGUAUCUAAAAGGGAAUCUAUAGGAGUGAAAUGGAUUUUGCGAUUGGAUGAUCAUUUACAACCCUUGUCUCUAUCACUGAGGAACAGUAUUUUUAUCUUCAUACUGUUCAUUGAACACUUUAUUAGUAUAGGGUUAAUCUUAUGAGUAUAAAGUAAACUAAAAGCAGAUAUUUGUAAAACUUAAGAAUAGGAUAAGGAGGAAGAAGAAGGGUGGGAGCAAGGCUAAGAGGAAGGGUAGGGUGGAAGUCUCACUAUGUCCCUAAAACUGCAUAUAUAAAGUACAUGGAAUUUGUAUAUCUUAAAUAAAAUUGAAAGAGAAGGAUAUGUUACAUAAUAACAAAAUAGCAAAAAUCUAGGGUGUCAAAUGUACAUGUCUAUAAUAUUCAUGCAUAUACAUAUAUAAAUGAUUAGGAACCUAAUCAUUUAACCCUCAAAAUCUUUCUGAGAAUUAUGUAAAAAGAGAACAAGGAAUUUAUGCAUACUUGUACAUGGGUUAAAUAACUUGUUCAAGAUCUUAGACAGGAACUGGUAGAAUUAGGAUUUAAACUCAUGUCUUUUUUACUCAUAUUCUAUGUUCCUAGUCAGUUUGCUAUCCAUACACACAUAUAUACUAACAAGGUAUUACCAAAAUGAUUAAAAUCUUAGGACAUACCACGAACAAAACAUUAUUUUAUUGAAGAUACAUAUCACUUCCAAAAUAAGUAUUUCAAAAUAGUUUUGAGCAAUGAAAACUACAGAAAUAUCGGACAGCUGCUCAGUCAUUACCCCAACCAAGGAAUAGCACCCAUGUGGAUGUAGGAAUUGGACUCAGUUGGUUGAGUAGUUGCAGGGUGUAUUAGAACCAUCUGUCCCAGGAUCAUGUACUGUGACAGUUCUCUGUGUCUUCAACUGUGAUUCUUUGUAAUGAGUCCUCAUAUGCAUUUCAGAAAUUGGAAUGAGAAUUGCUCUUCUCUCCUCUUCGUCUUCUGCUUUAUCUUCUACAGGAUUUAGCAGCACUGAACACAAAUUUAGGGCACAUAUCAUAUUGCAGAUGGCCUACUGAAAAGUCACUCUGUUAGUUUCAUCUGGAUACAGAAACAGAAUAAUCAUAAAAUAUUUUUAUGAUUUACUUUUCUGGUCUGUGUUUCAUUGUCACUUGGGGGUAGUUGAAUGAUCUAUAGGGAUUAUCACACAUAUUUAAUCUCUACUCAAUAUUUAGACUAUCAAUUGUUGUAAUGAAAUGGUUAUUAUUUGAAAACCAGAUUACACUUAAUCAUUAAAUUUAACUUUCCCAUAACCUUUUCAAUUACAUUUUCCCAAAAGAGCAGUGAAGAAAAGUAUGUUCUUCUUUAGUACUUGCAGCACAAUAGUUUUAUAUUUUUCUGUAUUUUUAAAAUAUGCUGACUCCAUAUAUUACUUACAUUUUGAUCAUUAUUAUUUUCUCUUUUAUACGAAUUACUAAAAAUUAAACCAUUUUAAGCAUAUGCAUCCUUAAAAGUUUUGUAUGUGUUUGUUUUAAUUUUAUUUGAAACUGAGGGAGAAAGAGAGAGAGAGAGAGAGAGAGAGAGAGAGACCUUCUUUGUGUUCAUUCCCAAAUCUUCCUAAGAGCUGAGACUGGGCCAGACUGAAGCCAGGAAUCUGAAAAUAUGCCUGAUUCUCUCAUGUCGGUGGCAAAGACCCAACUACCUGGGCCAUCAGCUGUUACCUCCUGGGGUGCACGUUAGUGGAAGCUGGGUCAGAAGCACAGCCAGGACUAGAACACAAGAUCUCUGAAAUAUGAUGUAAGUGUCCCAAGCGGUGUCUUAAUUACUGAGCCAAAUGCCCACUGCAGCAUAUGCCAUUUUCUGAAAAGUAAUAGAAACAGUAACAAUUGUACUUAAAGCAACUGACCAUAAAAGCUGUACAUAUUAACAUGUACAUUGUCUCUCACGUGGAUGAAGUUAUAGUUAUUCUUGUAAGUUUAUUACAUCAUGUGUUUUUCUUCUGCAUAACCCAUGAAAAAUACUUUAAUAGUUUAUUGUUACUUAUUCUGUCUUUUUGGAGGUUGAUUCUGUUAUAAUUUGUGAGUAGGAAGACCGGAGACUUACCAUCCUAUAUCUGUUCUCUCAUUCUGGUCAUUUUCAUCUUAAAACUAGCUUCACUGAGAAGUAAGAAGAGAUGGAGUUAAAUACAGCAGCAAAAAGAGUAUUUUUUCAUUUGGUUUGGUGGGAGGUUUACCAAUGAGGGUGAUGACUGUGUAUCUGUAGUGAUGAAAAAUGACCGACCGGUGAGGAGUAAACGUUCUGGCAGGAAACAGAAAGCAGACACAUAAAUCACAAACCAGACAGUGAGCGCGAAGGCGCUGAAUAAAAAUAAGCUUGGACAUAUGUGAGACUGGCAGAAUGCAGUGAUGCAGGCUGCUCUCCGAUGGGAAGGGCGAUGGCACUGGGGCUCAGCGCAUUUCAUCUGCAGUCACUGAAGAGCAACACAAACCUGAAAGGCUGGCAAUAGAAAAGCGAUGAAUUUUUUUCUAGAAUGCAUACUUAAGAGAUGCACUUUAAAAUAGGAAAACACAGCUUCACCUUCUCCUCAUUCAUACUUGGCCUGGCACUGGAUAAGGAUCAAUUUUAAAGGACUUAAAUGCAUAUGCACCACGCUAGACGUGGAAAGAAACUGAGGUCCUCCAAAGCAAAAUGAGCUUCCAAGAUGUGGAGACUUAGCGGUGACAAGGCUGAGAUGAUGCCAACACUUUUCAGAUGUCAAGUCUGGGUACACAUGUUUGUUCUUUUGAUACUAAUUGUCCUCCGCUACCUUUUAGUACAAAUUAGAAAUGGUUUAAUUAAAAUUUCAUUUAUCAUAUUUACUCCACUUUUAUUUUACUUAAUUCAAUUCAAUCUCGAUUCAUUGCAUGCCCAAUACAUGCAAGUAGUAUCUUAGAAAACAUAAAGUUGAAAGAGACAUUGUUCUUGCACUGAAGAAUGGAUUAUAAAUGAUUAAGAGCACCUCAUAUGGAAACUCAUGCAAACUGACAAUCGCAUGCUUCCACACUUCUUGACCAUGGGAUUUACCUAAGUUGUGUAAAAAAUGUGUAUUCAUGUGUCAGUGUCAUGAAGACUCAGAUUCUGAGCUCUGAGGUAGAGGCUCUUUCAAUGAUUUAACAGUCCAGGUAAUCUUCUGAUCAAGUAGUUUGGGAAGACACGGUUGCUAUAGUUUCCAAAUUUGUGACAUUGUGAUAACCUAAGGAACUUCAACUAUUACAGGUGUGUCUGUUUUACCUUUGGACCACAGAGAUUGAUUUGAUUAUUUGUUUUUAGUGUGGCCUCAGAUAUGAAUUUUGAAGCUGUCCUCCAUUUGACUCUAAGCUACAAACAUCUUUAGUAACUUCAAUGUGUUUGGUAGAUAUGAUUUUCAAGGAAGUUUUCAUGAAGUCAAUGCCACCCACCAAUAUUGCUAAUUAUAUAUAUUGAGAAUUUAACUUUGUCAUAAGUAUUUUACAUUUAUUAUCCUUUAAACACAAACCAAUCAGAUCAACAUCAAUAUUAUCUGUGUUUCAUAGAUUGAAAAUUUUAACUGUAGAAAAUUUCCUCAAGCUCCUAUCAUUUCUUUUUUUAAUUCUUUUAAUUUUUUUUAAUUUUUUAAUUUUUGACAGGCAGAGUUGACAGUGAGAGAGAGAGAGACAAAGAGAAAGGUCUUCCUUUACCGUGGCCAGCGUGCUGCGGCCAGUGCACUGCGCUGAUCUGAAGGCAGGAGCCAGGUGCUUCUCCUGGUCUCCCAUAGGGUGCAGGGGCCAAGCACUUGGGCCAUCCUCCACUGCACUCCCUGGCCACAGCAGAGAGCUGGCCUGGAAGAGGGGCAACCGGCACAGAAUCCGGCGCCCUGACCGGGACUAGAACCUGGUGUGCCGGCGCCGCAAGGCGGAGGAUUAGCCUAGUGAGCCACGGCGCCGGCCGCUCCUAUCAUUUCAAAGUGACUUACCGGGUGUGAAACUAGAUUUGUCUUGAAUGCAGAACUUGAGGCUUCAUCACUUUGUCAGACUGACUUUCAGAUAUACCGCAAAGGACAGGAAGGCUUGCCACUGACAGAAAUGGAAAUGAAAGGCACCCAAAUGUCAGCAAAGGAAGAAGUGUAAUAAAUUGAAAUGUUUGUUUGCAGAUAAUGGAGGCCUUGAAUUCAUUGACAACCUGAUUAAUCAUCAGAUAAUUGAUUCAUUGAUUGAUUCAUUCAUUCAUCUAUUCAUUCAGCAUAUUUCUAUUUUUUCAUUAUUAGAAUUUUGUACAAAGUUGUCUAAAAAAUAUCACCUGUGGGUUGAGAAUCAUAGGUUAAAUAUUUACCUAGAUUUUAAAGGUAAAACUUGUUUCAAUUUUUAUUGUGUUUGUUGAUUUUAACAUCUUCCACUGUAAAGAUUUUAUUGAAGCAGAGUGCUGAAGAGUAUCCAACAAUCACAGAAAGAUCUCAUUUAAAAAGCACAUGGAUAUAUUUGCCCUUCUUAUUAGGUGGAACUCCAGAGAUUUAUGGCAUAGAUAAAUGGUGUUAGCAUUUAUUCUUAAAGAAAAUGCUUCCUAUAGGUUGUGAUAUUCUAUCCAGACACCUCUUUUGUUAGUAUAAUUUAAAUUAUUCUUAUUAUUAAAGAGAAAAUCCAGUUAACUGUUGGUUGUCUAAAAAUAGCUACUCUUUCUUUUCACAAUAAAGUGUUAUCAUAGGACCUGUAGACAGAAAAUACAGAACAUUUUGGCAGUGAGAGGAAGGGUGUUUUGAAAAUCCUCAAUCUUGAGUCUUUAUUGUAAAUAGUUUCCUGGACACAGAGUGGUAUUUCCUUUGUAGACUUUGAAUCUUCUGUCACUUAUAUGCAUAGAUGAUCUGUAUUUAUCAGUAGUAGCAAACACUAAAGUAUAUGAACAAAGCGAGUAUUUAAAAUUCCUUUGUCAUUUUUUUAAAUAUAAAGGAGUGAAAUGUCUAUACUAUAAUGAUUUUGAUGUUUGGUCUCACACUUUGAGAAUUCAGGAAUUUGAAUGUGCAUUCAGUCAUGAUUUUUCAAACACAUUUUUAAAUAUCCAUAGUGUUCCUGAUGGUCCUUUGCUGGGAGGAUACAGUGGAAGCAAAAGGGAACAUUUUCUGAUCCUAUUGAUCUUGCAGUCUAAUGGAGAAAACAAAUGAUCACACAAACACAUAAUUGGUACAUGUUGAAUGUCAUUUACUACAUUACACAAUAAAUAUAAAAAUGCACAUAUUAAGGAAUCACCAUUUAGUAGGAGGAAUAAAUUUCAACAGAACUGUUUUUUAUUGAAUAGAUGAGUGGUUAAGAUUAAAGACUCCAAAUUUACAAUCAAAACUGUAUGAGGAAUUUCAUUUUUAAUAAGGCUAGAAUUACAAUCUAGUAGGAAAAUGUUGGUUUAUUUGCUGCAUUUUGACAUACUUUUCUAUAAUACUAGAAAUAUUUAUAUUAUAAUAAAUAUCCAUGAAUGAUGACAGCACAUAAAAGAUUUGCGGUCGAUAGAUUUAAAAUAUGUGUUUACCUCAUUUCUUCACAAUAUGUAUUUUCCAUGAACUUUUUGAGACUCAUCAUAUAUAUACAUUCUAACUUUUAAAAUGGCAUCAACAACUAUUUGAAGAUGUGGAAGGUCAUAUCUCAGUGAAUAGUUUGAAGCUGUAGAGGCGUAAGAAGAUUGAAUUGGAGUUUCAGGGCAUUAGAAUCAAACAGACCAGAAUUUAAGUCAUGGAAUACCAUGCCACAGAGUGUGGACUUUAUUCCUUAGGCAUUGGCAAACCAUGCAGCACUUUUAGAGAAUGGAAGGGCCACAUAUUCCUUUUAUAAAGACCACUCUAGUUGGUAGACAGAAUAUUGAAUUUCUUUGGAAAAUACAAUAAGAAAAGACCAGUUAGGCAGCUACUGUAUUAACACAGGUGAGCAAGAAACAAGGUAAUCUCAUUAUGGAUAGGCACUAAGAAUCAAAAAACCCAAACAUUUUUAAAGUAGAAGGGAAUCACAAAUUGUACUGAGUAAAGGGAGUGGUGAAGAAAGGAGAAGAGAAAAAGAUGAAUCCAGGAAGAAGCUGAAAGGGGAACCAAACCAGAGCUUGAUGGAGAGAAUACUUCCUUUGUGUCAUGUAGCAUAGUGGUGCGACUAUAAUUCACAAUAACCCAUUGUGUAUUUUAUGAGAAAAUAGAAUAAAAGAGCUCUAAGUUUCAAUCACAAAGUUGUGCCAAAGAAAGGGACAUGUUGACUUCUCUGAUUUAAUCAGUGCACGCUGUACAAAUGGAUUGAAGCAUUGCACUAUAGACCCUAAAUAUGUCCAACUACUGUUAAGAUUUUUAGCAAGAACCUUCAAAUAUAAGGAAUAAAAGGAAAAUACAUCAGAAUUUCAGAAACAUCUGAAGUUUGAACAUGGAGUUCUGAUGUAAAAAGGCAAUUGAUUAAAUACCAAUUUGAAAUUAAUAUAUGCUCUCUAUAAUGUGUAAACUCUAAACAUUACAAAUAAAUGGCUAGCGACAUUGAGUAUAAUGAGUCAAAUUAUUUAUAUAAGCUAACCUGAGAGGGUUUCUUUUUUGCACAUUAUCAGCUCUAGAGAAGCUUUGAGUAUGAGGGGAGCUUUGGCAGAGCAACUGCUUUGUCAAGUCUUUCUGUCGGUGUCUGUACUAGGUAUUAAGUAUUAUUUAAUAGAGAAGAAAAAUGAGGAGAAAAUACAGGAGCUAUUUUUACAAUGCUAGACAAAUAUUAGCUCAAUUGUUGAAUGGCAUUAAUUAAUUUACUCAAUACUAAGUGGACUUUUACACAAAGAACUUUAAAUAGUUUAACCAUGUAAGAAUGCAUGUUACUUUAGUUUCAUACUUUUUUAUGUCAGUUCAAAAAAAGUGGACUAGUACAGUGAAUGUAGUUUUAAUUUUUUUUCUGAAAAUAUCAUAUUUGUUUCUGGUUUAAAUUCAACUGAGCAACCAGUGAAACUACAUUAUAGUUAUCUGAGCUUUUGUGAAGACAUAGUGGUGGAAACCCACUGUGCAAGAUCAAGUUUCACUGUGGAUUUCAAGGGAGUGGCCACACAAAAAUCUCCCAUAAAAAUCUCUCAGGCAAUCUCUAUAAUGUCAAGCGUAACAGACUCAAUAAUUGAAUCUUUAUCUGGCGUAGAGAUGAAAGGGCUCCUGUUUUACUAUUACAGCAGUAAAAACAUGUCACAGGUCAGUAAGUGCAGUUAAAUUAGAUCAAGUACAUUCCGUGUGUGUGUGUGUGUGUGUGUGUGUGUAUACACAAACUAGCCCUGUGAUGCUGAUAUCCAAUCUUCAGUGUUCACCAAGUUAUCAUAAAUAGCCCCAAGCUAGAGUUAAUGGGGAAUGGUAGUUUUGUCUUAAAUGUGUUUUAGUGUACUUCUGUAUAAUGUAAUAAAAGGAUAUUGUUAAGUUCCGUGAAUGUUAAAAAUAUUUCUAUUAAUCAUUGGACUGUUAAACUCUUCACUUGAAAGAACAGAAAAGUUCUAAGAAAUAAGAGGAAAAUCAAUUAUAACAGAGUUGAAAAAAUAAUUAAGCUUUAAAGCAAGUGGUACUAUGAACUUCAGCUGUCUUGCCACUGUGAGUUGAAGAUGUCCGGUUUCUUUCUGCCUCUCUAACGUAUCAUUGUGAAAGUAGUAAUGCAUUAAGUAAAGAUUUCAACAGUUUGCACCCCCAUAGAAACACAAAGCGAAAUAUACUGUUUGAGUACUCAUUAUAGCAUUAAGUCUCAAUGUACAGCACAUUAAGGACAGAGAUCCUACAUGAGGAGUAAGUGCACAGUGACUCCUGUUGUUGACGUAACAAAUUGACACUCCUGUUUAUGGCAUCAGUAAUCUCCCUAUGCACCAGUUAUGAGUUUCCAUGGCUAUGGAAGCCUUUUGAGUUCACUGACUCUUAUCUUGUUUAGACAAGGUCAUAUUCAAAGUGGAGGUUCUCUCCUCCCUUCAGAGAAAGGUACCUCCUUCUUUGAAGACCUGUUCUUUCCACUGGGAUCUCACUCACAGAGAUCUUUCAUUUAGGGUUUUUUUUUUUUUUUUUUUUUUUUUUUUUUUUUUUUUUUUGCCAGAGUGUCUUGGCUUUCCAUGCCUGAAAUACUCUCAUGGGCUUUUCAGCCAGAUUGGAAUGCCUCUAGGGCUGAUUCUGUGGCCAGAGUGCUGUUUAGGACAUCCACCAUUCUAUGAGUCUGCUGAGUAUCUCGCUUCCCAUGUUGGAUCACUCUCCCCUUUAUUUAUUCUAUCGGUUAGUAUUAGCAGGUACUAGACUUGUUUAUGUGUUUCCUUUGACUCUUAGUCCUUUCAUUAUGUUGAAAUCUUUACUUAAUGUAUACUAAACUGAUCUUCUGUAAAAAAAAAAAAAAAGAAGAAAUUAUCAAUUCCCAACUUGACUCUCACUGGGAUUAAACACGACAAUAGGUCUGAUCUGAUUUCAUCAUCAUUUAAAAAAUCAUCUAUUAUUUUUCACUUUAUGUUUCUGUGUGGGAGCAAACUGUUGAAAUCUUUACUUAAUGUAUGCUAAACUGAUCUUCUGUAUAUAAAGAGAAUCGAAAAUGAAUCCUCAUGUGAAUGGAAGGGGAGUGGGAGUGGGAAAGGGGAGGGAUGCGGGUGGGAGAGACGAUAUGGGGGGGAAGCCAUUGUAAUACAUAAGCUGUACUUUGGAAAUUUAUAUUCAUUAAAUAAAAGUUAAAAAAAAAGAAAGUAGUAAUGCUUAAAAUGGCUUUGUUAUAACAUUUCCCAUUAUCAAAUUAAUUAAUCUUAGACUACUAGAAGUAAAAUAUACACAAUGUCUCACAGUUUUGGAGGCUGGGAGUCUAAAACUGAGAUGUUGUCAGAGUUGGUUCUUUCUGAGAGCUCUAAGGGUAAGAUCUGUUCUAGGUUCCCCUCCUUAGCCUAUAGAUGACUAUCUUCAUGUGCUCUCCCUGUGUCUCCAUAUUUGCUUCCCUCUGUGCAUAUCUGUGUAUAAAUGUCCUCCUUUUAAAAGAACAUCAGCCGUGUUGAUCAUAAUAAUGAUUUCAUUUUAACUUGAAUAUCUAUCUAAGAUCCUAUUUCCAAAUAAGGUAAUUUCUUAAGGUACUGAAGCUAGGACUUUCAACAUAUGAGUUUUGGUGGGGCAUGAUUCAGCAUAUUGUAAUGACCCUUGGCCUCAUAGAUAAGGGUGUGUUAUGGUUAUUGUAACUGCAAUCAAGCACAGUGCUAGCAUGGACAAUGGAUUAUCUGCCAACUUUGUGUCUUUCUUUCAGAGGACCUACUCCUUCAUAGAGGACAAACCUCAUCAGUCACUCUGGAACCAUGUGAACUUUCCUCUUGUCUAAUGGUUAAUAGUUCCAUAGUGGGCAUGUGAUUCAAUUCAGGCAAUCAGAUUCUCCUGGGAAUUUGGAAUUGAGAGACCAAGAAUACAUCACAUGUCUGGGCUGCGUUAUUGAGCUGGAAGCAAAUAAAUGCAGCAGCCCUGGGUAGCUCUUCAGUUCCUGAUCUUUGCCCUACCCACUCCAUGGUUGCUGGCAUUCUCCUUGUUAGAAUUCUGUGAGGGGGCUGGCACUGUGGCAUAGAGGUAAAGCCACUGCCUGCAGUGUCGACAUCCCAAAUGGGCACUGGUUAAAGUCCCUGCUGCUCCACUUCCAAUCCAGCUCUCUGCUAUGGCCCGGGAAAGCAGUAGAAGAUGGCCCAAGUCCUUGGGCCCCUGCACCUGCAUGGAAAGACUUGGAGGAAGCUCCUGGCUCCUGGCUCCUUGGCUCCUGGUUCGGGAUCAGGGAAGCUCAGGCCACUGUGGCCAACUGGGGAGCAAACCAGCAGAUGGAAGACCUCUCUCUCUCUGCCUCUCUUUCUCUUUCUGUGUAUUUUUUUCAAAUAAAAAAUAAAUUUUAAAAAAAAAAGAAUUCUGUAUCAGCCCUUAAGGCAUGCGGAUCCGGCUGAAAUGCCCAUGAGAGUAUUUCAGACAUGGAAAGCCAAGACACUCUGGGGGGAAAAAAAAAAAAAAACUAAAUGAAAGAUCUCCGCGAGUGAGAUCCCAGUGGAAAGAACGGGUCAUCAAAGAAGGAGGUACCUUUCUCUGAAGGGAGGAGAGAACUUCCACUUUGACCAUGGCCUUGUCUAAAUAUAAUCAGAGUCAGUGAACUCAGGGGGCUUCCAUAGCCUUGGCAGCUCAUGACAAGAGCCUAGGGUGAUUACUGAGGCCAUAAACCAGAGUGUCAAAUUGUUAAGUCAACAACAGGAGUCACUGUGCACUUACUCCUCAUGUAGGAUCUCUGUCCUUAGUGUGCUGUACAUUGAGAUUUAAUGCUAUAACUAGUACUCAAACAGUAUUUUUCACUUUAUGUUUCUGUGUGGGAGCAAACUGUUGAAAUCUUUACUUAAUGUAUGCUAAACUGAUCUUCUGUAUAUAAAGAGAAUCCAAAAUGAAUCUUGAUGUGAAUGGAAGGGGAGAGGGAGUGGAUAAGGGGAGGGUUGCGGGUGGGAGGGACGUUAUAGGGGGGAAGCCAUUGUAAUCAUAAGCUGUACUUUGGAAAUUUAUAUUCAUUAAAUAAAAGUUAAAAAAAAAUAAAUAAAUAAAUAAAUAAAGAGGA